rnacentral:rRNA from 1 species
AUGAACGCUAGCUACAGGCUUAACACAUGCAAGUCGAGGGGCAGCAUGAACUUAGCUUGCUAAGUUUGAUGGCGACCGGCGCACGGGUGAGUAACACGUAUCCAACCUGCCGAUGACUCGGGGAUAGCCUUUCGAAAGAAAGAUUAAUACCCGAUGGCAUAGUUCUUCCGCAUGGUAGAACUAUUAAAGAAUUUCGGUCAUCGAUGGGGAUGCGUUCCAUUAGGUUGUUGGCGGGGUAACGGCCCACCAAGCCUUCGAUGGAUAGGGGUUCUGAGAGGAAGGUCCCCCACAUUGGAACUGAGACACGGUCCAAACUCCUACGGGAGGCAGCAGUGAGGAAUAUUGGUCAAUGGACGAGAGUCUGAACCAGCCAAGUAGCGUGAAGGAUGACUGCCCUAUGGGUUGUAAACUUCUUUUAUACGGGAAUAAAGUGAGGCACGUGUGCCUUUUUGUAUGUACCGUAUGAAUAAGGAUCGGCUAACUCCGUGCCAGCAGCCGCGGUAAUACGGAGGAUCCGAGCGUUAUCCGGAUUUAUUGGGUUUAAAGGGAGCGUAGGCGGACGCUUAAGUCAGUUGUGAAAGUUUGCGGCUCAACCGUAAAAUUGCAGUUGAUACUGGGUGUCUUGAGUACAGUAGAGGCAGGCGGAAUUCGUGGUGUAGCGGUGAAAUGCUUAGAUAUCACGAAGAACUCCGAUUGCGAAGGCAGCCUGCUGGACUGUAACUGACGCUGAUGCUCGAAAGUGUGGGUAUCAAACAGGAUUAGAUACCCUGGUAGUCCACGCCGUAAACGAUGUCGACUUGGAGGUUGUGCCCUUGAGGCGUGGCUUCCGGAGCUAACGCGUUAAGUCGACCGCCUGGGGAGUACGGCCGCAAGGUUAAAACUCGAAUGAAUUGACGGGGGCCCGCACAAGCGGAGGAACAUGUGGUUUAAUUCGAUGAUACGCGAGGAACCUUACCCGGGCUUGAAUUGCAACUGAAUGAUGUGGAGACAUGUCAGCCGCAAGGCAGUUGUGAAGGUGCUGCAUGGUUGUCGUCAGCUCGUGCCGUGAGGUGUCGGCUUAAGUGCCAUAACGAGCGCAACCCUUAUCGAUAGUUACCAUCAGGUUAUGCUGGGGACUCUGUCGAGACUGCCGUCGUAAGAUGUGAGGAAGGUGGGGAUGACGUCAAAUCAUCAUGCCCCUUAUGACCUGGGCUACACACGUGCUACAAUGGACAGAGCAGAGGGAAGCGAAGCCGCGAGGCAGAGCAAACCCCAGAAACCCGAUCUCAGUUCGGAUCGCAGGCUGCAACCCGCCUGCGUGAAGUCGGAAUCGCUAGUAAUCGUGGAUCAGAAUGCCACGGUGAAUACGUUCCCGGGCCUUGUACACACCGCCCGUCACACCAUGGGAGUGGGUUGCAAAAGAAGUAGGUAGCUUAACCUUCGGGAGGGCGCUUACCACUUUGUGAUUCAUGACUGGGGUG